UACGAAGGGGGCUAGCGUUGUUCGGAUUUACUGGGCGUAAAGCGCACGUAGACGGAUCGUUAAGUCGGGGGUGAAAUCCUGGAGCUCAACUCCAGAACUGCCUUCGAUACUGGCGAUCUAGAGUCCGGAAGAGGUGAGUGGAACUCCUAGUGUAGAGGUGGAAUUCGUAGAUAUUAGGAAGAACACCAGUGGCGAAGGCGGCUCACUGGUCCGGUACUGACGCUGAGGUGCGAAAGCGUGGGGAGCAAACAGG
rnacentral:rRNA from 1 species